CAGUAGCCGCGGUAAUACGUAGGGUGCGAGCGUUAAUCGGAAUUACUGGGCGUAAAGCGUGCGCAGGCGGUUGUGUAAGACAGGUGUGAAAUCCCCGGGCUUAACCUGGGAACUGCGCUUGUGACUGCACAGCUAGAGUAUGGCAGAGGGGGGUGGAAUUCCACGUGUAGCAGUGAAAUGCGUAGAGAUGUGAGGAACACCGAUGGCGAAGGCAGCCCCCUGGGCCAAUACUGACGCUCAUGCACGAAAGCGUGGGGAGCAAACAGGAUUAGAUACCCCAGUAGUCCCUGUCUCUUAUACC
rnacentral:rRNA from 1 species